UACGUAGGGUGCGAGCGUUGUCCGGAAUUACUGGGCGUAAAGAGCUCGUAGGUGGUUUGUCACGUCGUCUGUGAAAUUCCGGGGCUUAACCUCGGGCGUGCAGGCGAUACGGGCAAUACUUGAGUGCUGUAGGGGAGACUGGAAUUCCUGGUGUAGCGGUGAAAUGCGCAGAUAUCAGGAGGAACACCAAUGGCGAAGGCAGGUCUCUGGGCAGUUACUGACGCUGAGGAGCGAAGGCAUGGGUAGCGAACAGGAUUAGAUA
rnacentral:rRNA from 1 species